UGGGGAAUAUUGCACAAUGGGCGAAAGCCUGAUGCAGCAACGCCGCGUGAGUGAUGAAGGCCUUCGGGUUGUAAAGCUCUGUCUUUUGGGACGAUAAUGACGGUACCAAAGGAGGAAGCCACGGCUAACUACGUGCCAGCAGCCGCGGUAAUACGUAGGUGGCAAGCGUUGUCCGGAUUUACUGGGCGUAAAGGAUGCGUAGGCGGAUUUUUAAGUGAGAUGUGAAAUACCCGGGCUUAACUUGGGUGCUGCAUUUCAAACUGGGAAUCUAGAGUGCGGGAGAGGAGAAUGGAAUUCCUAGUGUAGCGGUGAAAUGCGUAGAGAUUAGGAAGAACACCAGUGGCGAAGGCGAUUCUCUGGACCGUAACUGACGCUGAGGCAUGAAAGCGUGGGUAGCAAACAGGAUUAGAUACCCUGGUAGUCCACGCCGUAAACGAUGAGUACUAGGUGUAGGAGGUAUCGACCCCUUCUGUGCCGCAGUUAACACAAUAAGUACUCCGCCUGGGAAGUACGAUCGCAAGAUUAAACUUAAAUGAAUUGACGGGGUCAUAGCUGUUUCCU
rnacentral:rRNA from 1 species